rnacentral:rRNA from 1 species
UCCGGUUCCCGUAGGAUCACCGAAGUUAAGCAACGUCGAACCUGGUCAGUAACUUGAUGGAUGACCGCUUGGGAAUACCAGGUGCUGUAAG